UCUGACAAAGCCUUUAAAUUUGCCACUGUUUGCAUCUUCCCAGCUGUAGAUGCUUGCAGAAGUGGAGGGGAAACGCGUGGAGGCAGGAAGGAAAGGCUCUGAGAAAAGCACUUGUGAGAUCCACAUCUGCUGGCGUCGGGGAGGAGGCAGCAGAGUUAUACAAUAAUGCAGCUGUCAAGUAAAGUGAUACCAUCAGACUCCAAUUCUUCAACCUCUACAGCAGAUCCUUUCUUUCAGAAAAUAAUCCCUCUCCAGCCUGCAUUUAACUGGUACCUGCCACCAUGAACACAAGAUCAGGGCUGGGAGAUGUAUUUUCCUGUCUGAGCUGGCUCUUGGCUGGAGAUGCUGCUCCUGUGGCAAUGUGCUGGGAAAGCCAAGGCCUUGGGGAAGGAAGGAAAUGAGAGGUGCUGGGGACGUGGGUGCAGCUUAUUGGGCUGCACCACAGUGUGGCUGCAUUAUAUCAGAGGUGAGGCAAGGAGCAGUGCCUCAGCAUGGCCCUGCUGUCCUUCGGGACCACAAACAGGAGGAGGUGUGCUGGGUAAGCUGUUACCAGCUGCCCUCCUCCUGAUUUCUUCACCGGAGCUGCCCUCUGGCUAUGGCUGCACAGCCAAACCACCAGCACUGAAGCCUCAUUUUAGAGGGGCGGCAAUGUCAUAAAGUAGGCAUUGGGUCAGUGAAUGUGUGUUCAGAUGCAACCCACACAACUUUUUUUUUUUUAAUGCUUUCCUAGACAACUUUUCCACUGUGUUAGU